ACCUGACAGUCAUAUUAGUAAACACAGGCAGCUCCAUAGGUCAUGAAUCACUCUGGCUCCAUUGAUGAGUUUAUCAACACGUCAGUAUAACUCUGUCAAGCCUGCCCUGUUCUAUAUAAACAGGUGCACAGUGGCUUAUGGGUGAAACUCAUCCUUGUCAGCAGACAUAGCAGCCUCAAGACGAGCUAUGAGCAGAAAUAGUCAGCAAGUCUCCAGUUUGUAGCAGAAGUUACGUCCUCUGAAUUUAAAUGCACACACCCAGCCAACAAUGAAGGCCACACUUUUUUUCCCCAAGACCAGGUUCUUCUAAAAGAGCCAGAGAACAUCAAGAAGAUAUUCUCUGCAGAAUGUGCAGAAAUGAGAAAGUAGCAUUCCCAGUGGGUAAUGACUGUGUGGCCACUGACAGUCUGUUUUCUGGUCUAUAAAACUGAGGUUCCCCUCUGCAUCUAUUGAUCCCUUCUGCCUCCUCAGGGGAGAAGGUUCCAGAGAUUAAGAACUCUGCCACUGAGUAUUCUUUACGACUUAGCCAGUUCUGUCUCCCUGGCAACCUGACACAUUGUCGUUGCUACACAAGUCAUGGAUGACCCCUAUUGUCAUGUACUGUCUUAGGAAAUGCCCCAGAAGCCUCACAAACGGUUCAGGCCCCUGUAAUGGGCUCCCUUUCUCAUGCAGUGUCUUCUUCAUUUGUCCCUUGUCACUUGAACUCACAGUGGGAAAAUAUGGGAGUCUGCGAGGCACCAGCUUCCCAGGGAGAGACUUCCAUGUACGGAGUCCAGUCUGAGGGCUAAAAACUGCCGAAACCCAAGACAGACCCGAUCUGAAGAAAGAGCAGAAAGGGAUCAGUACCGGAAAGCCCAGUGUGAGAGCAAAAGAGAUGCUGUGGAGUAGAAAAUGAUUCCAAUUGCACCAGAGAUGACAGCACAUUUCUUGCCAUUUUACCGUGUCCCAGGCAAUGUCUUAAGUGUUUCUCAUUCCCAUUUCAGUCCUCAGAAACAUGCCAAACAAAGGCUGUUAUUAUGCCCAGUUGAGAGACGAGGAAACUCUAACCACAGACACACAGCCAGUAAGUGGAAGAACAGAAAUGCUCCAACUCAGACGCCAGACCUCAGACCUUAUAGCCCACCCCUGUCAUCUUCCAGAUGAGACCAGAAAAGAGAAGCCAGAGCUGGAACUGGCCAGGAGUAAGGGGCAGAGUGUGACAUCUGCCCUAUUUGAGUUGGAAGCCUAUACUCCUGACUUUCCCUAACUUCAUCCUCAUCAAGCUAAAGUCAUCUAAGAAGAGGGAAAUUUUUUCAGAAAAAAAAAAGUUCCAUUAGAUUGUCUCAGAGGCAAGUCUGUGGUGAGGCGUUUUCUUGAUGAACGACCAAUGUGGAAGAGACAGCAUCCGUGGACAGUAAUUAAAAGCAGGCUGAGCAAGCCAUUAGGAGCCAGCCAGUAAGUAUCAUUCCCCCAUGAUCUCUGCUUUUGUUUCUGUUUCCAGAUUCCUGCCCUGACUUCCCUUCAUGAUGUACCACAACUGUAAUUUGAAAUAAACCCUUUCCUCCCAA